CGGGCGGCGGGGCCCGACUCACUCACUCGAUGAAGUAGCUGGCGCCCUCCUCCGUGAAGCCUUCCUCCCAGCCGCGGGGCAGGUCUGCGGGAACGCGAGAAAAGUCUGUGAAAGUCGCGCCGCCGCGGGCGCCCCUCCCCACCCACACCCCUCCCCGCCCCGUGGCGCUGGCGCCCACCUGAGCGAAUCAUGUGGCCCGAGUUGACGGGCUCACCCGUGCGCGGGUGCAGCCAGGUCGUGCGGCGCAGCUGGUCGCUGAGGAGAAAGGCGCACCUGUUAGCCAGCGCCGCCGCCGCGGGACGUCGCCCGGCCCCGCGCCCCCACCCCGGCCCCCGCCCCGGCCCCGACCCACGCCCAGUCCCCGCUCUCCCGCGCCGUACUUGAUGAAGAAGACGCGGCCGUCGCGGCACACCCCGUAGGACCAGUGCUCAGUACUGGGGAUCGAGCCCAAAGCCUUCCAACUGAGUAACUUCCCUCGGCCCUUUAUUUUUUAAAAUAAUGUCUGAGCUGAUGCAGGAGGAUUGUCAUGAGUUUGAGGCCAGCCUGGGCUACAAAGUGAAUUCAAGACCAGCCUGAACUACAUAGUGAGACCCUGUCUCAGCAACAAAAUUAUCCGGCUGGGGCUGGGGAUUUAGCUCAGCAGCAUAAGCACCUGCCCUGCAAGCAGGCAGUCGUGAGUUCGAUCCCUGGUACAGAUAAAAAAGAAAAAGACAAAUAAAUGAACAAAUAAAUAAAUAAAUAAAAUUAUCCGGUGUUAGGUGUUUAAUUCUGUUCUGCACCACUUGCCAGGCAUACAAGGCUCUGGUUUCAUCCCCAGUGCUACCAAGAAGAAAAAAAGAAGCAAAAUAAAUAAAAAAGAAGGGGAAGAGGAGGAAGAGGGAAAACUGGAAAAGGGAAGAAAACAGUAACAAUAUCAAAGAGUAGGGAACAUAAAAAGAACUGUAUCAGCAUUGCUAGUGAGAAUGUAAAAUAAUACAACCAUUCUAGAAAACAGUUUGGCAGUUUCUUUAAAAAGUAAAUAUUUACCAAAUGACCCAGCAGUUGCAUUCCUCUGAAUUUAUUCUAGAGAAAUGAAACAUUUCAUAAAAACUUGAACAUAAUCUUUCAUACCAGCUUUAUUUGUAACAGGUGAAAACUGGAAACAAAAUAUUCUACAGUGGAGAAUGGUUAAAUAAUUCUGGUCUUAGAAUUUUUUUUUCUUUCUUGAGGUACUGGAGACUGAAUCUAGAGACUUCACAUUGGGCUACAUCUCCAACCCUUUGUAUUUGUUGUUUUGAGACAGGGUCUCUCCCUCCAUUGCCAAGGGAAAGCUUAAAUUUCCAGUCCUCCUACCUCUGUCUCCUACAGUGCUGAAUUACAGGCAUAUGCCAUCACACAUGACUGGAAUACAACCUGACAACAAAAAAAUAGUAAACUGUUAAUACAUACAGCAACUUGGAUGAAUGUCAAGGCAUUAUACCAAGUUUAAAAGAAAAAAGAAAGCCAAUAUGCAAAGGUCACAGAACUUUCUCAAAACCCAGUACUGUCAUCAAUUGUUUAAAUUGUGACACAAGGUAAAGAAGUUUUUUUAAAUGACAAAAUCAAAUGCUAGUAAAUAAUGCAGAGACACCAUAAAAAUUAUAUAUUGAUGGUAGGGAUGUAAAAUGGUACGUCCACUCUCGAAACUGUUUGACAGUUUCUUAACUUUCAUAAAAAUAUUGUUAUCAGAGUACACAUUGAGCGCUGUGGUAGAACACUUGCCUACCAUGUGUAAGGGCUGAGGUUUGAUCCCCAGCACCAUCAAUAAAUAAAUAAGUAAUAGCAAUGGAGAAUUGAUCAGUGUUGUCAGGGUUUAGAGAAGGUAAUGUGGAAAGCGCAUGCAACUCCAAAGCAAUAGCAUGUGAGGGAAAUCUUUGUAAACCCAGGGGGUCCUGCUGUUGAGGGACAUCUCCAGCUCUUUCUAUUUUAUUUUAUUUAUUUUUUAUCGGUACCGGGGGUUGAACUCACAACCACCUGCUUGCAAAGCAGGUGCUUAUGCUGUUGACCUAAAUCCUCAGGCCCUUCUAUUUUUUCUUUUGAGACCGAUUCUUACUAAACUUCCCAGGCUGGGCUCAAAUUUGUGAUCCUCCUGCCUCAGGCUCCAGAGUAGGUGGGAUAACAGGCAUGCACCACUGUGCCCAGUAAUGUUCUGUGUUUAGAUUAUAAUUAUAGUUAUACAAAUUGGCACUCAUGAUAAAAUGACACAAGUAUAUUCCACACAAAUUGACACUUAGGAUAAAAUGACAUAGGGGUAUAAACAGACACAUACCAAUGUUAAUUUUCUGGUUUGGGUUUUAUGCUAGUUACAUAAAAUGUAACCACUGGAGGAAAAGAGUGAAGAGUAAACUAGCAUCUCUUUACUUUAAUCUUUGUAAACCCCUGCAAGUCUGUAUUUCAAAAUAAAAAGUUUUAAAAUGUGUUACAGAGUAACCAGAUGUUUCUUCAAAGAGUAUGUCUCCGACGUACAUAUUCUGUAACAAUGAAAUAGUAUUUUUGAAAGAUACCCUGCUGCAGAAAAAAAAAAAACAAUGAAAUAGUAUAGACAUUCCCUAAAAUUAAACAAUUGAGAAAGAAAAAGGACAGGUCAAGCACAUCUAUUAGUAACGUUAUUGUUUAAUAUUGUAUUAGAAGUUGCGUAAGGUAGUAAGUGCCUGUAAUACCAGCAAUCAGGAGGCUAGGGCAGGAGGAUUGCUGAGAGUUCAAGCCCAGCCUAGAAUAUAUGAUGAGAUCCUGUUUGGAAAACAGUUACACACAAUUAUAUAGUGUAUAACAUAUAUAUGUCAUAACACAUAGUAUAUAUGCUAUAUAUUACAUACUAUAUACAUAUAUAUGCUAUUACCAAUAAAAUGACUGGAAAUAGAAAUACAAGAUUUAACUAUUAGAAAAGAAAUAAAAUUAUUUCCAGACAAUAUGACAUAAUGCCAUAAAAUAUGAAGGACAGUCUCUACUCUUAUAAUUAAUAAAGAAUUCAGGAUCACGAUAAUAUAUCACAGAAUUAACGUUCUGUUUCCCCUUUAUAACAAUAGAAAAUACAUAAGUUUAGGAAUAACCCCAACAGAAUAUACUUACAUAAAGUUAUUUGGUAAAACCUACAAAACUCUACAGAGAGAUGGUGACUAACAACUUUGUUUCAUAUUUAAACAUGAAAAUAUAAAGGCAGCAGUAAAAACAAUACAUAUGGUCUAUAAUAUUUAGAAACUUAGCUGGGUAUGGUGGCACAUUCCUGAAAGGAGGUACCUAAAUGUUCAAGGCCAUCCUGGGCUCCUACUAACAUAGUCCAGUAAAUUCUUACCGGAAAUAUUUAUGUGAUACAUGCCUGUAAUCAUAGCACCUGGGAAGCUGAGAUAGGAUCAUCAGCAUGCCAUUCAAGGCGAGCAUCAGCUAUACAGUGAGUUCAAGGCCCGCUUGAACUAUAUAGUGGGACUCUGUUCAAAAAUAAAUACAUAAAUAAGUGUAUGUUGUAUAUUCUAGUUCUGCAUGCCCAAGACAUGAGUCAUUAGCCAAUGAAUUGUGGCCAGUCUGCACUGCCUGAAUUGUUGUUUUCUGCAUACAAGAUUUUGAAAACGUAGUAUGAAGUAAAAUGUGAAGUAUCUCUUUGAAAAUACGUUUACAUGUUGAAGUAAUAUUUUGGAUUAUUGGGUAUGAAUUUUAAAUGCGUGGUUAUUGCAAAUUUAAACUAACAUGUUGGCUCACUUUUGUAACUCAAAUUAUAUUUCUGUUAGACAACAAAGCACUAGCUUUUUCAUACCACUCUUUUGUAUAGCUAUAGACCUCACUGCCCAUUAGUAUUACCUGGGAGCUUUAAAAACAUUUUGACCACGUUCUAUCAUAAGUGAUACAUUUGGUGUUGGGUGACAACUUUUGUUAUUGAAGUCUCCCCAGAUGGCUCUAAAGUACACCCAUGGUUAGUAACCGCUGCUAUCAGCCUAAGCAGUCGGGCCUUAGAGAAUUGUUUUCCACAUUUUUCAUUCCAUAUAAUUAAGGAGAAAACUUCUGUAGGCUAAGAAGUAACAUUUAAAUCUGGGUUCAAAGAUGCCAUACCAUUGCCAUUCUGGAUUGAUGACUCCUGUACAAGAUGUGAAUUUUUCUCAGCUGAUUACCAGAGCUGAAAUUGGAAAGUUUUCCAGUUAAUGAAAACAAAGUAAUGAAUCUUUUUUUUUUUUUUUUUAGUUUUACACAAUCCUCCCUGAGUACACUUUAAUAAUAUUUGAACUAGUUCCAAGGGAUGGAGGUUAUGAUGGAUUUGAGAUGUAAAAAGUGUGUGCUUUCUUCUUCUUCUCCUUCUUCUCCUUCUCCUUCUCCUUCUCCUUCUCCUUCUCCUUCUCCUUCUUCUCCUUCUCCUUCUCCUUCUCCUUCUCCUUCUCCUUCUCCUUCUCCUUCUUCUUCUUCUUCUUCUUCUUCUUCUUCUUCUUCUUUUCUUCUUCUUUUUUGAUCAUCACAUCUUUAGGAGGUAAGCAGGGCAAGAGUUCUUGUCCCUCAUUUUUAAAGAAGAUACUGAAUGCCCCAGAGGAUGGUGGCUUGUCUAAGAUCAUGUAGCUAAUAAAAUAAAAUAAAAUACACUCACCUCUUGAAACCUGACCACAGCCCUUUUCCUACCUUAAUACCUUGGAAUGAAUCACCCACUAGGUAAACGGAGCUUUCUGUCCAGCUUUUCCUUUGAUGGGCACUAGCCAAGAACUUUCACACUAGAUGGUCCUACUGAUGCUUGUGGCACUAAUCCAUUAAUUUAAAUGCAAAAUAGUCCAUAAUCAGAGAUUAAUCUGAGAAGAUUAAUCAAAAUGCUUGCCAGCAACCAAGCGUGUGCACAACAAUUUUCAGCUUCCAGGUAAGCAGAAAUUCAUUACUGUCCUGUAAAAGCUCUCCUUUACUCUUCAGGAGACAAAGCAUGGGGUUUGGGGUCCAGUGGAUCUGGGAGUAGCCCAGGUACUGUCCCUCAGUAAGCUGAAUGACAUAGGCCAUGCCACUCCUAUUUACCCAGUACCUGCUGAUGGUAGACAGUACAAAAAUCCUAGUGAUCUGGUAGCCCACACGUCAUGGUUCCCAGCCUCAGAGGCUCUUAGUAUUUGGGAGAAAUGGGUGUUUUCAGUGCCAGAAGACAAGAACUGCUCUGGAGCUAGCAUGAGGAGGUCACUUCAGGAGCACAGAGAAGACCGCUGGGCAUGGUGCUCAGCAGUGCUGGUCUCUGCCUCCCUACAGCAGCCAUGGCUUGCAGGCGGCCUCAUGGGAGACAGGGCAGCAGGGCUUCCCAAUCUCUGUUGCUGUGCUGUUCCUCGUCCUUCCAAUAAGAUCAUCUAGUAUUUUUGUUUUGUUUUCAUUUGAAAACAUUUUCUUACCUGGCUGUGACAGAAGGAUCACCAUGAGUUUGAGGCCAGCCUGGGCUACAUAGUUAAGAGUAGCUUGGAUUACAUAACAAGACCCUGUCUAAAAAAGUUUUUUUUUCCUAAGAAUCUGUUUUGUGUCUGCCCCAUAGGUGAGUAUAAGGAAAGAAAGAAUGAGGAAAUAAGUGUAUGUCAGGGUUCUGCAGAGAAACAUAGCCAUUAAAGGUGGAUGGGAAGGGAGGCUGGUUUUUUUUUUUUUUUUUUUUUUUGGUCUUUUUUCCUUUUUAUUGGUACCGGGGAUCGAACUCAUGACUGCCUGCUUGCAAGGCAGGCGCUUAUGCCACUGAGCUAAAUCCCCAGCCCCUGAGAGGCUGUUUUAUAAGGAGCUGGUGUGUGUGAUUAUGGAGCUAAGAUUGACACUUAACAAGCUGAGGAUCCAGGAGUGGCAAUAUUCCAGAUCAAAAGCAACGGAAAACAACUCAUGCCCCAGCUUGCAGGCACUGGGGCAGGAGGAAUUCCCAUGUAUUUGGAGAGGGUCACUCUUUUCUAUUCAGCUCUCCUUCUGAUUAGAUGAGGACGGGAUUUACCUCAGCGCAUAAGCACCUGCCUUGCAAGCCAGCGGUGGUGAAUUUGAUCUCCAUCUCCGGUACUGAUAAAAAAAAAAAAGAAGAAGAAGAAAAGAAAUGUUUCCCUGAUUAGAUAAGGACCACCCACAAAAGAGAGCACAAUCUACUGAAAUGUUAAGUUCAUCCUCACCCUCAAGGAGCACCCAGCAUAGUAUUUGGUGAAGUAUGUAGGCACCCAUGGACCUAAACUUAAUUAAUUAAUUAAUCCUCAUAAUAAGCCAAAGCUUCUUCCUUAAAGAUCUCUGGCCUAGAGAAACUGUACAGAGCACUGUGCACUUCUCAAACCAGCAAGGGGUUUCCUGGGAAAAAGAAAGCCAUCUGUGAGCCUUCUCUCUUCUAAGUUAAAAUGAGAGCCAGGUGAGCGGCCUGCUAAUCGCCUCUUUCAGGAAGCUGAGGUGGGAAGGUUGCUGGAGCCCAGCUAGGCACCACAGCCAGACCCUGUCUCAAAAAAAUGAAAAGUGGCCAGCUAGGUUCACCUGUAAUCCCAGCACUUGGGGCCUGUGGCACGAUGACUGGAAGGUUUGAACCAGCCUGGGCAACUUAGUGACUUAGCAAGACCUUGUCCCAAAAAACAAAAGAAGGGGGCUGGGGACUUAGCUCAGCGGUAUAAGCACCUGCCUAGCAAGCUCAAGGUCAUGAGUUCGAUCCCUAGUGCCAAAAAAAAAAAAAAAAAGUAAAGUUAGUAAAAAUGAGGUGUAGUGACCAGCUGCAGCUCUGUAGAUAUUCCCAGGGUGAAGGAUAAUAAGAGGAUGAGAAAACAAAGAAAAAGGGGGAAACCUGAGGUCGGGAGGAGCCCUGUCUCCUGACAGAAGAAAAGGGACUGUUCAACCACUGUAGCAGGUCUAUUUAUUACUUAGAAGGAUGAGGCCAGUUGCAGCCCUGCUGCCCAGCAACUUGUUUGUCUGGCUGGCCUGGGCCCCUUGCCUUCUUGGAGCUGAAACAGCUUGUUUACAUGGCUUGUUUUGGGCUCUCUGUGUUUUCAGGGCUGGCCUUGCAUUAGCCCCACACAUGUGAUCAGUCUCCAGCUUCCACGGGUCCCUACAGAGAAUGUUGUGUAUUCUUACCUCAUCCUGCAGCGCCUCAAUUCCCAGCAUUUCAGCCUGUUCUUUUCCCUUUAAUUCACUCAGGAGUCCCUUUUGUCUCUCCCUGCCUCUCUCUCUGCCUCUCUGUCUCUGUGUCUUACUCAUCUUUAUUUGUCUCCCUUUAAUUUUAUUAUGCAAUCUUUGGGAGCCGCAGGCACAGUAAGUUUUAACCAUUUCACACAUCAGUUGUCCGUGUGCUGCCCUAACUGCACCCCAAAUGUUUCCUACAAACAACAUUCUCCUUUGUAAUCCCAGUACAUCAGAAGUCAAAAUUAAAAAUUAUAUCUCUUUAAUCUUCAGUCUGUGACAAUUCCCAAUGUCUUUCCUUGGCUUGUACUAUCCUGAUACCUCUGUAGCUCAUACUCCAGUUAUUUUGUAAAUGUCCUACAUGUGUGGUUUGUGUGAUGGUUCCUUGUGAUAGGAUUUAGCUUCUCCCUAUUUGGCAGAAAUAGCACCUAAGAGCUGCUGUGUUCUUCUGGUAUCUAUCGGUGACAAAUGACUGCAGUGUAGCACACAGUUAGUGAUGUUUGCUUUGAUCAUUUGAUUAAGGUAGUUUCAUUAGCCUUCUCUACUAAGAAGUAACUCCUUUUAUAUUUGGGAAAUAUAUAUAAAAGUGUACUUUGAAAAAGUAGACAAUCCAUUUCUUAUCACCUAGUCAAUGAUUCAUUUAUUCAGAUCUGUAUAUACUAAUGUAUUACUAUUAUCAUUUAUUUUGCUGCACAAAUCAUACCAGAUUUGGCCAAUGUAAGUCCUACAUGCUGUCUUCAGUGUCCUUUUGACAGUGUCCCUGUCAUUCUUUGAGUACUUCCACAUUUAGAAUAAGAUGUUCUAAGCUACUUGGGCAUGGUGGGACAUGCCUGCAGUCACAGGCACCUGGAAGGCUGAAGCAGGAGUAUUGCUUCAGCCCAUGAAUUCAGGGCCAACCUGGGCAAUGUAGCAAUUCACUGUGUCUUAAAAAAUAAAUAAAUAAAGGCUCACUUUACAUCAUUUUUCUGAUCCAUCUGAUACAUCUGUUUUUCCAGGGAACCUCUUUGGUUUUUUGUUUGUUUGUUUGUUUGUUUGUUUAUGGUUGUUGUACUGGGGAUUAGACUCAGUGAAUUCAAUAAACCAAAUUCCCAGCCCUUUUUGUUUUUGAGACAGAAUCUUACUAAGUUACUAAGUUGACCAAACUGAGCUCAAACUUGCUAUCCUCCUGCCUCAGCCUCCCAGAACGCCAAUAUUACAGGCGUGCAUCAGCUCUCCUUUUACUGCAAAAUAUUACUUAGGAAUCAAGAUUUCAGUGCUACGUGUACUCAUUGCUAUUAGCAUAUUGCCAUUCCCAGACAUUUAUGUCUGUAAUAAGUCCAUAUCUACAUGGAGAUCUGUAGGUGAGAAUAAUGAGUUCUUGUCAAUACCUCCAAUUCUAAUUCAACACCACAGGUAACUACAGUAACCCUUAUUUCAUCAUUGGCCCAAGCAAUCAGCCUGGGCCCAGGUCCCUGCCCACACAAUGCCCUCUCUGGCCCUGGCAUUGCCCCCCAGGCCCUCCAGACCUAGGUGCCUCGUCACUCAGCCCUGACUGCAGCACAGUGUCCACUUAUCACUGCCACCCACAUGUGCCCCUUCUCCACAUGGGCCACCCUUUUAACCGGGCACUCUUUUCUUCCCUCUUGAAUUCAAGAAUCCCACCCCCCCCAACUCUCAGUCAAAGAGGCCUCCUCCAUCACUGACUUCCCAACACACCCUGCCACGCGCCUGUCUUCCCAGAGGCCCUCAUACAUUUUGACAUGAUUGUUUUCAAGAGAGGAAGCAAACAGUUAAAGAGCCCUCAAAGCUGUUUGGCAGGCCCCCUACAGCCACUAAUGCCCCUUCUUCUUUGAUCAGUCUACCUCAGCCUCUUCCCAGACUUGCAGCGGAUGACCAGUGACACAUCCGACACAUCCUAGAGUCCUAAGAGCUGGCUGUCUAUGAAACUCUGCCGCACCACCCAGGGCCCAUUCAGAUUUGCUUUAUCAUGCCACUUUAGUCAGAUGUCCAGACCAAGCAGAGACACACACCUGGCCCCAGACCCUGGAGCACCCACCUAAUCAUCACAAGCCCUCAACUCCUGAUUACUGGCUUUCAGUCACUGCAGAGCACCUGGAAGGACAUCAUGUUAAAGGCCAAAAGCUCCAAAUCCUCUCAUACGCACGCUCCUGCUUUAGCAUCAGGUCUCCCACCUGAAGCCACUUGGACACCCACGCUGGUUCCAGCCACAUGGCUUACCAGCAGGAAGACAGUCUGGCAACUCUCCCUAGAUCUCAUCCUUGCAUAGAUCAUGGAGUGCUCAAAUGAACUAAGACAGUUUGUUUUGUUUUGGUUUGUUUUGUUUAGAUUAGGUUUUUUCUUUUCUUUUUUUGUACCAGGGAUCAAACUCAUGACCUUGUACUUUCCAAGCAGUCACUUAUGCUGCUGAGCUAAAUCCCCAGCCCUAGUUUUGUCUUUUGAGACAGGGUCUCACAAAGUAGUCCCAGCUGGCCUUGAACUUGCUAUGUAGCUAGACUGGCCUCAAACUCAAAGCGAUCCUCUUGGCUCAGCUUCCUGAGUGCUGGGAUUACAGGCGUGUGCCACACACCUGGUUUUAAACAACUUCAGGGUGACUAGGUGAUACCAUUUCAUGGGACCACCAUCAUAGUGCAAUACGUCAUUUGGUGAAAUGUGUGGUUCAUGAGUGAUCUUAAAAUGAAAAAAAUUCUGAGCACUCAGGAGUCUGAAGCAGGAGGCUUGCAAGUUUGAGGUUGGCCUAGGCUACACAGUGAGGUCAAGGUUCUCCUAACUACAUAACAAGAGCCUGUUUCAAAAAUAAAAAACCCAAAAAAACAAAAAUCCCCUCCAAACGCUGCCACAGUGUUUUGCUUGGUAUUUUCUGUUUGACCACUGGUCUAGUGUAGUCAGUCAGAGAAGCAAAGGCUCAGGAGUCACAUGUAGUCUAAUUCCUAGUCCCACAGGUUAUUAGCUACCCUGAACCUCUGUAAAAUGAAAGCACAGAUGUUUCACGAAGAGUUACUGUGAGGCUGGGGACAUAGAGUCCUUGCCAAAUUUGCCUCAAGCCCCUGGGUUCCAACCCCAAUGCCACAAAAGAACAAAAGGGAAGAGGGAGAGUUACUGAAAGGAUUCAAUGAUACAAUGUGUGUUUGAGCCCUCUGGACAGAACCUGCUUUAUCACCACUGCUGGUCACAUCAUGAGACACUGGCAGGGAAGGAAAGCCAGCACUCACACUCACACUAAAGCAGUAUCUCUGGAGCCUCAUAGACGAGUUCAAAAAUGAAGUAUUUAAUGAAAUAAAGCAAGAAAUAAUUAUAAUAGUUAGAUAAAUGCUAAGCACAACCCAAGAAAAAACAGAUGGUGGAAUGGAAGAACAGAAAAAAAGGGGAGAAUUGUUUGAUGGAGAAAAUAGAGAAAACAUAGAAUACAUGAAACAGGUUCAGAGAGAUUACCAGGAAACUAAAAACUCUAUUGAAAGCUAGCAUAACAGCUUGAAAGAAACUAAGGAUAGAUUAUCAGAACUGGAGGACAGAUUUGUAAGGUGGGAGCAUGAAAUGAAAAACUUCUUAAAAAUAACAAGAAAACAAACAGCAAUAAUACAAAGGCUAGAAGAUGAUAAGAGGAUCUAUAACUUAAGAAUUAAGAACAUAAAAGAAGAAGUAGGGACACAAACAAAUGAACUAAAAGGCUAUUCACAGAAAUAAUCCAGGAGAAUUUCCCUAAUUUAGCAAAAGGUAAAAAUACUCAGAUGUAUGAGGCAUACAAGACCCCAGCCACCUACAACCCAAACAGAGCUACACCCAGGCAUGUAAUAAUCAAAAUUCCACAAAUCCAAUAUAAGAACAGAAUACUAAAAGCCGUCAGAGACAAGAAACAGAUCACUUACAAGGGAACACCCAUCAGAAUUACAGCAGACUUCUCGGCACAAACUAUCAAAUCACGAAGAGCGUGGGGGGGGAAAUAAUUCAAGCUUUGAAAGAUAAUAACUUCCAGCCAAGAUUGAUAUAACUGCAUAUAUAUUUAAGUGUAUAAGAUAGAUAACCAUAUUACUGAGUUUUGGAUCAUUGAACAAAACUGUUUGCAGUCUCACUGUUUGAAAGUCCCCUCUAUAUGCUUUAAUUUUGUAACUUCAACAACUAUUUCUAAGAUGACAAUAUGUAACUAACUAGUGGUUUCCUACUAUUUAUUUUUUCUGAAAGUCAUAUAACUUGUACCCUUUUUCUGUUUUUUUUUCUUUUUUCUCCUUAAAUAAAAUUUAAAAAAAAAAACAGGAAAAAAAAAAAAAGAAAAUCAGUUAUCAAGUACCACACAAUGACUAGUCCUGGCAAGAAUCAUUAGUGAAUAUUAAAACCAUUUGGUUGGGUAAGAGAACAUGUACCUAGACUGUAGAUAUUGUUCCAUAUAAACUACAAAGGGAGAAAAUAUCUUUAUAAUGAAAAAAUCUGGAAUUCUCCAAAGAUAGGCAAACUUCCUUCUUCUUCCCCUUUUGUAUUCCACCCAAGCCACUAGCUUAUUGGUUGGUGCCACCCACAACCCAGGUAGGUCCCCUACACCCUCAGUGUGCUGGCCUACAUGUUGGUCAUCUACACAUACCACCAGAACUGUGCUUUUCUAGUACACCAGGCAUUUCUUACUCUGGUCAAGUUGACAGGCCAAUUAACAGUCAUAUUCUAUAAGCACAGUUAGGAGAAUUGGAGCUCAUCAAAACUUAAAAUCAUAGGGGUCUGGGGAUUUAGCUCAGCGGCUUAAGCGCCUGCCUUGCAAGCAGGCAGUCCUGAGUUUGAUCCCCGGUACCGAUAAAAAGGAAAAAGACAAAAAAACUUAAAAUCAUCAAAAGACAUCAUUAAAAAAAGUGAAUAGGUAAGCCAUGUAGGAAAAUUAUUUCUAAUACCUCAGUUUAGCUACUUAUAUCAAGGAUAUAUAAAGAGUUUCUGCAGAUCUACAGUUUAUUAAACCCAAAAAGAAAUAGAGGUGCAGGUCAGUGGUAGAGCAUAUGCCUACUAUGAGGUAUACAUACAUGACGAUCUAGGUUCAAUCCCCAGCACACACAGCACUCAGCCUGAGUUCAAUACCUGGAGUGGAAAAAACAUCCAGAUGUCUGCUGCUCCCUGCCAUCCCCGUGGAUGUCUGUUUCCUGGGCAAAACUGAGGAAUCAGUACCUAGAAAGCUGCUGGGAGAAUUCCAGUGAGUGCCUCUUGGUUGAGAAGCACUGGUAAAUGUCAUUCUACAUACACAUGUGCGUGCAUAAUUUUCCUAGAAAAAUGGAAUCACUGUGUAUGUUUCACAAGUUAAUUUAUCUAAGCAGCCCACUAAUAGACCUUUGGGUUACUGUUUCAAAUGCUGAAAAGCAGUCACAGUAAGCUAUUAGCAAAUUAGAAAUGAGGAAAAACUUCUGAAAAGUUCUAAGAAUGGCCAGAAAUACUUAAAAACUGUUGGAGGGCUGAAAAUUGUUUUCCGAAGCAUGAAAACAACCAUGAGUACAGGAACAAAAACUUCACGAUUGGAGAAGAGUCACUUCUAAUCCAGUCACUGUUUUAAUCAAAACACUGUAUUGAAAAGAUGACUUUCAGAAAAUUGGCCUUCGGUCCAGUAACCAUGUGCGAUAGCCGGGAAGAGCUUCCUGCCAGCUCACAGUGUCCCUGGAGGAAGCUGAAGAUGCCUCUCCUGAAGAUUCUGCCUGGGAAACAAGCAUCAGACCAUCUACAGCCACAGCCACAAGUGCUCACAUCGCCUGAAGUCCUGCCAUAGGCGGAGAAGCAGGGACUGCGAGUCAUGGCCAUGGGAGAUGCAGAUUUCCUUGGCCAGCCAGGUGCACCCUCCAUCCUUUCCACGUGAAGCUCAGCCAGGCAGAAAACAGGGUGCAGACUCUGCUACAUAGGCCGCCUGUCCAGCUAACUGCACCACAAGCUCCAGCCUCCACAGUGCACCCAGACUGACUGUGUCUUUGCUUCCCAGCUAUGCCUGUUCUUCAUCCUGAUUCCAAAGAACCAUCCUCAGCAUGGCUCUUCCACAAGCCAGAGGGCGUUGAGCCCUGGGCUACACUGAGAAAAUGUAAAUCAAUAGCCUUUCAAAAAAUAAUAAAUAAAUAAAUAACCUUUGUGUGUCUUAGCCCAUGUGGCCUCAUUUGAGCCAUGCAAUGGUGACGGACAUCCAUCUUACAGCAGGAAACAGAGAAGUUGGAGAUUCCAGCGCAAUGCGCAGGCUGGCCUUGAACUCACAGUGUAUCGGAGGAGACUUAUUAACCACACAUGUAGAACAGCAGCUCCAGAGCUGGACAUGGGGUCAAGCCGAGCCCUGCACCAGUACCAGUUUUCUAAUAUAAGGACACACUGAGCCUGGCACCUGGCAUCAAUCUUCCAGCAAGUGGUGGGGUGGGGCUACCUGGACCAACUGUGAAAGAGGACGAAACGAUGGCAGCAAGUGACUGUGGGGCCCCUGCCCUCUUGUUCUUGCAGAGCCCCUUCUGCUUACAGGAUGCAUCUUCUCUUUUUUAAAACACCCUUUUCUCCUUGAGCACUUCUUUUCCUUUUAAUUUCCUUAUUUCUGCCCUAAAAUUGUAAUCUUUCACUCCAUCAAUUUUUCUGAACAAUUAAUGGAUUGGUACAAAUAAGAACCUGGGAGACACUGCUGGCCCUUACCCCAUCUGUAACUCGGCCCCCUAGUGGUCAGCGUGAUCAAGCUGUAAGUACAGUGCAUAAAAGCCUUUAGGAAAAGAAAGUAUUUAUGCACAUAGCAGUUAAUACCCCACCCAGAACGCUGUAAGAAGGGCAAAUAUAAACAUCUAUAGAUUUUCAAAAUUGAUUAAACUAUAGUAAUGAUUCUAUGGCCAAUAUGUUCAAAAUCAACCAAUAAAAUUUACACUGUAUAUUAAAGUCAUCCUGACACUCCUGGAAACCUUUUUUUUUUUUUUUUUUUUAAAGUAGUUCCCUUAAUCUGACCCUCUACAGUCACUUUCAAAUCGUCUCAAGACUAGAAACAAAUUCAAUAAAAAAGCAGACUUCAAAUUUCUACCUGGGGAGAUUUGAAUGCAGAAUGUAAAAUGUAGAAGGCUACUGGAAAAACUGGUUCUUCCCUGUCCCUCCACAGAGUCCCCAGCUCCAGGAAGUACAAUGUAACUCUAUGUGGCACCUGCUAGAAAAGUCUAGAUUCUUCUCCAUCACAGAAAAACGAGCAAAUCUCACAUCUCCCCUGUGCCCAGAGAUCCUCAGGCCAGUAUCCUCACUGCUCAGGCAACCUCGGGCCACACCUAGAGCUCAGGCUCUGAAGCUUUGAGCUCCUCACACUCCUGCCAGGUCACCCCAGGCAUAGGCACAGGUAGCAGAUGGGCUGGUAGUGGAAUGGGGACUCCUGGGCAAGGUUCUUCCCACAGGAACGUGUCUGUUUUAGGAUCUUAAUGUCCUCUAUGUCACUGGCCAGGUAGAGGGGCCAAGAAGUGGAUCUUCUGGUACUGCCCAAAGAGACCAGCCUGGCUGAAGCAAAUAACCAGGACUAGGAGAUCAGAUGCCCUCGAGGUCCCAUCCCAGGCCAGGAAUCUCCACGACAGCACCUCCAGUGCCUGCGGAAGGCUGAGCAGUGCCCACAAAGCUCUGAGGACAGGCCCUGUGCUUCAGCCUACUUGAGCCCACGUAGCUCCUCCACAGCAGCUGGGCCAUUCUUGGAGCCAGCUGCCCUGCUGGCUCUGCAGCUUCUCAGCGGGCCUGGACAAAUAGUCCUUCUUCAUCUUCUGGCCAGGGGCUGAAGGGCUAAGCUGGGUACAACUACAGGCUUGAGUACAGAAACCCAUCUGGCCUUUGAUCAUCUGGACCCAGCUCCCUUUUUCAAAGUCUUCCACUGGAGUCCCCUGCCAAGCCAUUGUUCCAGCAUUAACCACCUGCCCCUAAUUUUCCUUGCCACUGUCCCCUCACCUUUUGCCUACAAGGGGACCUUUGCUUGAGUCACCUCUCCCCCAUCUAUUCUUAGAUCUCAUCUUUUAAAUCCCUGCUUGCACUGCAGGUUUCCAUCCUUUUGCCAUCUUUGUUCCCAUCUCAUCCUUCUUUCUCCCAUCCCUAGGUUUCUGACCUCCUUCCUUAUUCUGCAGCCUUUUCUCAUUACUGGUUACCUUCUCAGACCUCUUUUGUCUCUACCUGCUCCAAGGCAUAUCCCAGGGCAACAGGAUGGAGACUCCCGUCCUAAACUGGGAGGAUGACAAAUGCCCUCCAGUUCUCUAGAUGCCUCCUUCUCUUUCACAAAACAUCCUGAUGUAGUUCAAUCCCGGUACCGAUAAAAAGGAAAGACAAAAAAAAUCCUGAUGUGCCCACACCCUGCUUCUGGAAUCCAGCUGAAUUCAAGCUACCUCUUCUCCAGACAGGACACAAGUCAGCUCUGAGAAGCAGUUACUCACAGGGCUGCCAACCCCCGAUGGAUAGGGUUUGUACCUUCUAGUUACGGAGGUCAGAAGGCCCUGAGGUCAUUCUGACCCUGCAGCCACUUGGCAGAAAACACCCAACUGUUAAACAAUAGGUGUAGUCUGUGGCAUCUUCUGCCACUGACCAAACUCUGGCCAUCAUCCUGAAGUACCCUAGGGCCUUUAGCUCCCUCUCUUUCCUCUUCUCAGGCAGAUGCCACCUGUGCCCACUGUCCGCUCCAAACAUGCAGUCCUCGAGCCUCCUCAGUUUCCCCUCCUCUAAGCUUUCUUUUCCUUCUCACAGCUUAGAGGUGGGAGCAAAAUGGCCAGGAUAUUUAAGGAUAUUUAGGGAGAUCAGACAUGCUAGGAUUGGGGCUGGGGAUUUAGCUCAAUGGCAUAAGCGCCUGCCUUACAAGCAGGUAGUCGUGAGUUCAAUCCCUGGUACCGAUAAAAAUGAAAAAAAAAGACAAAAAAAAAAAAAAAAAAGAAAUGCUAGGAUUAGCGGGGAAUUUAGCUCAGUGGCAUAACUGCCUGCCUAGAAAGCACGUGGUUGUAAGUUCAAUCCCUAGUACCACAAAAAGAAAAAAAAAAGCUAGGAUCUCAUUAGCAAGACCUAAGUAUAAACAAAAGACUUGGCUGAAACAUUUCAAUCAACACUCUGUUUGGCAAAGCAAUUCGGCCCAAUGUCUGAUGGUCUUCUUUGCAUUCAGGUACCUGAAACACACAUUCUUCCCCCAUAGAAGUUUUGAGACCAAGACACUUCUUGAGGAUCUCAGCUCCAGACAUUUGGAGAAUAGUCACAUACUUCCUAGAACAGAACACUCAAGGAAAACACACACUUGGAGCAGCGGUGAGCUGGAGUUGGGUUGUACAGGCUCUAGGAGCCAACACUAAAACCCCAAGAAUCCUGCAAUGCAGUUAAACACAGGCACCAUAAAAAAUUAACUUAUGGAAACUCAAGACCAGUACUCAAAACUCACCAUUUCCUAAUUACCUGCACAAAGUUUAAGUGUGACCCAUGGUCUCAACUUGUGCCCAUUUUUCCAUGCAGGGAAAUACUGCAUAUGGUGUCACUGUCUUUUCCCAAUUUGACUGCCGAUCGGCCACACAGGCAUUUCUACACUGUAGAAAUAGAGAAAUGCUGAAGACUGAGUUGCUAUUGUCCUCUCCCAGACAAUCAGCUAUAAAGCAGUGAACCAUGUACCACUGGCUCUGGGAAAUGACAAAAAUGAAGGUAAGCCAGGUGCAAUGGCAUACAUUUCAAUCCCAGCAUUUUAUGGAGACAGGUGGGGCCAGCCUGGGGAACUCAUUGUGAUCUAUUUUUUAAAAACUUUGCCAGGCCUGGUGGCACAAGCCUAUAAUCCCAGCACUCAGGGCUGAGGCAGGAGGAUCACUGCAAACUGAAAGCCUGGGCUAACAAGACCUUGUCUCAACCAAGAAGAAAAAAAAAUGAUCAAGAUUGGAAGAUAAAUAUGAAACUUUGAGAAAGAGCUGUACAGUUGGUAAAAGAUGAGGCCCGUGGGCAUAGCAGCACACACCUGUAAUCCUAACUUGGGAGGCUGAGGCAGGUGGAUCGCCAGUUUAACACCAGCCCAGGCUACAUAGUGAGCUCAAGGCCAGUCUGAAGUACAUAGCAAAACCCUGCCUCUAAAAUCAAAAUGAAAUUACAGAAAUUACAGAAUCUGCAAAUCAGUUCCAGAAAAACACAGAAAACAGUAGGGAAUUUACUAAAAGAUAACUCAGGAAAAUUUCUCAGGACUACAAAGACAAUAUUGAGGUUGAAAUACCUCGCCAAGCACCAGGAAGAAUACAAAGUAAAGAAUUAGUUGGGUGAAAUCUAAGGCAGGAGGACAGCAAAUUUGAGGCUAUCCUGGACUACACUGUGAGACACCAUCCUAAACAUGUCAAACACCAGAACACAUAAUGUUUUGCAAAUUUCAAAACAUCAAACAAGAUGGUCCUUAAAAAAAAUCAAAUUUAAAAAGGCAACCAGAUCACAAAGGAGUUGUUUCCAAAUGGCAUCAGACUUCUCAACAGCACAUUUUCGUUUUUAAAGCUAUAGUUGGGCAGUGAUACAUUUUUUUUGUCCUUUGAGACAGGGUCUCCCUAUGCAGUUCAGGCUGGUCUUGAGCUCACUUUGUAGCCUAGGCCAGUCUUCAACUUGUAGCGAUCCUUCUGCCUCAGCCUCCAGAGUGCUAGGCUUACCGGCAUGUAACACCACACCUGGCAGUGAUACAUGCCUUUAAUCCCAACUAUUUGGGAGGUUGAGGCAGGACAGUAGAUUUUUUGUAUUUUGGAGUUUUUUUGUAAUUGUUACUGGUACAUAUUUGCAGCACAUGAUUACACUGCUCAUGGGGAGUUGGUAUAUACAUUUAAUACAUUUUAAUUCUUUAUGUCCUUGCCCCCUUUCUCCUUCAGGAUAGCAAAUUUGAGGCCAGCCUGGGUGAAUUACAGCCUGUCUCAAAGGAGGGGGUGUUGGAAAUGUAGCUCCGCACUGCUUCAGUUCAAUUCCCCAAACAGCAAAAAUAAGUUAUCUUAAAGCUAGACACAAUAAGCAGCACUGAAUUUUUUAGGGGACAUUAUUUGCAUCCCCUUGGUAAAUUUUUUCACUCAACAAUGAAUUGGAAAAGGGUAAUUUUCCAAGAUCUCAAGUUUUCUUUCAUCCUUUAAAUUCAUUCAUCUAACAUUUACUGAGCACUUGGGGCAUUCUCAAAAUAAGAAGGACAUAGUAGGGAACAAACCAGGUCCCUGUCAUAAUGAGGUCUGCUUCAGUCUGAAAAGAGGGAGGCAAUGAAUAAAAAGAUGUAACAUGUCUUGCAGUAAAAGUGCUCCAAAGUCACACAGCAGGCCCAGGGCCUUCAGGCUGGUGGAAGGAGCUGUCUCAGCAAUGGCUGGGGAUAGUUUCUGCUGAGGUCACAUUUGAACAAUGACCUAUAGAAGGCACAGGCCAUGUGGUACCAGAAGCACAAGCCGUCUAGGAAGAGCCUUAAACAAGAAUGAGGGCCAUGCAAACAGCAUUUGUGUUAAGUGACUAGGGAGGCUGACAGAAGAAACACAGAGCUGGAGAGAUCUGGUCCCAGGAGCCCUCUCUCCCUUUUUUUUUUUUUUCCCUUUGAGACAGGGUCUAUGAAUUUUAGGCUGGCCUGCAACUCACUAUAUUGCCCAGGCUACCUUCAAACUGGUGGUGAUACUCCUACCUCAGCCUCCCAAUGCUAGGUUUAUACAUGUAUACCACCACGCCCAGCACAGGAACCCUUGCUACUGGACUUUUCCCAUGUGUCCCUAUACUCUGUUCAGUCCCCACUUGCUGUUUCCUGGGAAACUGAGGAUUGGACCACACCAAGCUCCUUGACUUUUGUCAUCCUGAGAUUUGGCCAAUGGGAGACAAUGGCAAGAGGAACCUCUACUGGGACUACAGCCUCGGUAAAGACAACCCCGCCAGGUUCAGUCACACGUGUUCUCAGGCACUUCCUAGAGUGGGAGGGCUUCGUGCCUCCCCUAGCUGGCGGUUACCCGAACCAGUGUGCCUCAUUAGUCCUCAGUGAAUUCCCGAUGUCCUGAGUGCACUUGCACUCGGUCUCCAUCAGAAACCUGAUACUCCUCCUUAUGGCAAAAACCAAGGGUUUCUGAUUCUAUGUGCAGAGCCGGGGUGGGAAGGCACUGGAGGUUCCUCAGAACACGGGACAUAGAUCACGCUGGGUGGUGGGGUUUAAGCAGGUUGAGCACAAAGUUGGGAGGAAAUCGGCUUUCACAGUAGUAAGGGAAAGAGGUGAUCCAGACUCAGGCGGCUGUACCAAGGUUUAAGUUUUCAGCUUACGAUGGAUGACAGUGGAGCAAAGAGGACUUCCUGACCCAACUGGAAAUGAGGUGAAAGUUCUGCCUAAUGCUCAGCUGUCACUGCCUAAGUGAGAUAGGUAGGUUUAGGCUGCAAAAAUCAAAAGUGGUGUUGGGAAAUUCGGGUGUUUAUCUGAGACCCAACUGGAGAUGUGGGAUAGGCAGAUUAAGUGGAAGGGACACAGCUCAGGGAGCGCCACAUGUACUACACAGGCUACAUAAAACCACCUACACAAGGCCCAAGGACUGCCUGAACCCUUCCUCAGGUCGUAGGAAGGUGCACAGGAAGACGGAAAUCAAAAAAGGGAAGACAUGAACAAGGGAACCUAAUGUCAGAGGCAGAAGGAAUCCCUGAACUGAUGUGAAACAUUUUAGAACCUCGGGGCUGGGGAUUUAGCUCAGCGGCAUAAGCGCCUGCCUUGCAAGCAGGCAGUCCUGAGUUUGAUCCCUGGUACCGAUUAAAAAAAAAAAAUUCUAGAACCUCAGGUCUGAAAGAGUAAGCUGUCUAAAUGAGAACUAGAAAGACAAAAAAGCAAAGUACAACUGUUCACUUUUGAAAAUACCAAAACAAAACUAUGGUUCUAAGUUUGAAGAUGAUUUAGAAAACACUAAACAACAGAAGACAUAAUUACUAACUUUAUGUAAAUGUUUGCAGAAACUAGAGGAUAUACCAACAGUGUAUAUAAGUCACAUGAAUGUCAACAAAGAAUUCAGAUUUAACCAUGAAACAUGACAGAAUUAUGAGGAUGCCAGGGAAAGGAGCAAAACCAAAAUGUCACAGUUGAGAGGAAGUGGACAUCUUAAUCUUAGUACUCAGAAGGCAGAGGCAGGAGGAUUUCAUAUUGAGUCCUACCUGGGAAACUAAACAAGACUUUGUCUCAUAAAAAAAGUCAUAGUUCAAAGUGAGUUCCAGCAUGAAGGCCUAAGUCCAGCUCUCCAGUGAUUUCCAACAGUUUUGCCUGUGGCUCAGAGUAAAGCUGAAGGAAAAAGCUUUGUAUCAUUUCCCUUGGCAUGAAGGCACACAUUUGUAAUCACAGCUGCUUACGAGCUGAGGCAAGGGGAUCUAGUCCAGGCUGGGCAAUAGUACUUGACUCUAUAGUCUUGAAACAUAAAAAGGGCUUUGAAUGAAGCUUAGUGACAGAGCACCCCCGGGUUCAAUCCAUGGUAAUGGGAAAAAAGUAUUAUUUUAAGCCUCAUAAGCAAGACCCAAGAUCUCUCCACGUCAAAGAUUCUUCCACUGAUACUUAUUUCUGAUGCUACACUGUGGUGAACAUGUUAUUUAACAUUAAAUAUAUCAAACACACAUACUUAAAAGAUCAACAUACAAAUCACUGGUAGAUACUAUUUUUUUUUCUUUAGGAGAAAUAAACACAAAACACACCUUUAGUUAAAUCAUGAUUUUAUUGCUUGAGUACAUAAACACAUUUAUGCCACCAGGGCAGAGGCUGUGGAUGACUCACUGAAAAAAAAAAAAAGAGAGAAAAUUGGGAUUAAUACUGGACCUGGGUACCCAUGUAAAGACUCUAAAAUGAACCAAAUUGAGUUCCAGAAUCAGCUCACAAUGCUCAACUAUAAUGGAUCACAGUGCUCACUCAGACAUCCAAGGAAGAACAACCAACAUGAGGAAAACCUUUCUGGUGGAAACUGCGAAUGUUUGGAUAUCAAUCAUCACAGUGAGCAAGUCAUGCAACAAAUAAAACUACAGUAAUAUCUGGGACCAACGUGGGAAAUGAAAUGUUAGCCCUGUCUACACAGAUGUGAAAAUGCUUGUUCAUGGUCCAAACUGGAGGCCUGCAAAGUUUUAAGUGAAUACAGCCAUGUGCAUUUAAUUAUGUACUUACUGCCUGUUACCAGAGCAUGGGCACAGAUAAGCUACAAGACUAGUUACUGAUACGGUCCAUAAAGGCCAAAACAUUUACUAUUACUUACUAAUAUUUACUGUCUGACUGACUCAAGAUCUAGCAUCAGAAAAAGUAGAUACUUACUAUUUCCAGUUUGGGGGGAGGACCCGUUUGGUUUUAUAAUAUCGAGCCAAUCUGUGAAUCCGGCUCUCGAUGAGAAUCAGGCGGAAUUUGGCAUCCUUAUCCUAAAAAUAAAAUUGAUACAAGUAAAAAAAAAAAAAAAAAAAAA